rnacentral:rRNA from 1 species
GACGAACGCUGGCGGCGUGCUUAACACAUGCAGGUCGAACGGAAAGGCUCCAGCUUGCUGGAGUACUCGAGUGGCGAACGGGUGAGCAACACGUGGGUAAUCUGCCCUGCACUCUGGGAUAAGCCUGGGAAACUGGGUCUAAUACUGGAUAUGACCUUUCUCCUUAUGGGGUUUGGUGGAAAGUUUUUCGGUGUAGGAUGAGCCCGCGGCCUAUCAGCCUGUUGGUGGGGUGAUGGCCUACCAAGGCGACGACGGGUAGCCGGCCUGAGAGGGUGAUCGGCCACAUUGGGACUGAGAUACGGCCCAGACUCCUACGGGAGGCAGCAGUGGGGAAUAUUGCACAAUGGGCGGAAGCCUGAUGCAGCGACGCCGCGUGAGGGAUGACGGCCUUCGGGUUGUAAACCUCUUUCAGCAGGGACGAAGCGUAAGUGACGGUACCUGCAGAAGAAGCACCGGCUAACUAUGUG